GAUGAACGCUGGCGGCGUGCUUAACACAUGCAAGUCGAACGGAAAGGCCCUGCGUUUGUGGGGUGCUCGAGUGGCGAACGGGUGAGUAACACGUGUGUAACCUGCCCUUGACUUUGGGAUAACUUCAGGAAACUGGGGUUACUACAGGAUAGGAGCUCCUGCAGCGUGGUGGGGGUUGGAAAGUUUCGGCGGUUGGGGAUGGAUUCGCGGCUUAUGAGCUUGUUGGUGGGGUAGGGGCUGACCAAGGCUUUGACGGAUAGCCGGCCUGGGAGGGUGACCGGCCACAUUGGGACUGAGGUACGGAGCAGACUCCAACGGGAGGCAACAGUGGGGAGCAUUGCACAGCGGGCGGAAGCCUGAUACAGCAGCGCCGCGUGCGGAAUGACGUCCUUCGGGGUAUGAACCGCUUUCGCCUGUGACGAAGCGGGAGUGACGGUAAUGAGUAAAGAAGCACCGGCUAACUACGUG
rnacentral:rRNA from 1 species